rnacentral:rRNA from 1 species
AUAAUUAUAUUCUUACUUUAUUUAUUUAUUUUGUUAUGAGAAAUAUCUUUUUGUUUAGUAUACUAAAGAAAUACGAAUAUUGUUAUAGUAUAAUAGUACUGUGAAGGAAUUGAUGAAAUAGUUUAAAUAUUUAAUUUUUAGUAAGUAUGUUUUAAUUGCAGUACCUUUUGUAUCAGGGUUAAUCAAUUAAUUUAAUUUAUAUUUUUUUCUCGAUUUCAAAAGAGCUAAUUUAUUAUUUUAGUUAAUGUGUCAUAAUUAUUAAAAAUAUGAAUUAGUGAAGAAAUUUCAUUCGGUUUUGAAGGUAUCUAGUUUUUUAAGAAUUAAAUUUAAUUUAGUGUUGUCAAUUAAUUAUUAUAUUAAUUUAUGAAUUAUUUGACAAGGUAAAAAUUAUAGGGGAUAAGCUCUAUAUUUUCCUAUAAAAUUUAAUCUAAUUAAUUUUUGUAGGGUUAAAAUUAUCCAUCAUUAGUAAGUGUGUUAUAAUUUAUUUUUAUGUUAUUUGAUUUAAUACUUUUUAGUAAUUUAUUAAAAUCACUAAAAUAAACUUUAUAUUUUAGGAAAUAAUGAUUAAAUUAGUAUAAAAAUUUGUUCAUAUAGUUUUAGUAUGUAUGAUAAAAUAAGGAACUCGGCAAAAUUAGUUCUCGCCUGUUUAACAAAAACAUGUCCUUUUGAUUUUAAUUGAAGGUCUGACCUGCCCAGUGAUCAAUUUAACGGCCGCGGUAUACUGACCGUGCAAAGGUAGCAUAAUCAUUAGUCUUUUAAUAGAGGGCUGGAAUGAAAGGUUUAACGAGGAAUUGACUGUCUCAUUUUAUUUGUUUUAAAAUUUAAUUUUUUAGUUAAAAAGCUAAAAUACAAUUGGUAGACGAGAAGACCCUAUAGAUCUUUAUAUAUGUUCAAUUAAUUAUUUUUAUAUUAGUAUAUUUAAUUUAACAUUUAUUUUGUUGGGGUGACAAAAAUAUAUAAUUAACUUUUUUAUUUACUUAACAUUGAUUUAUGAAUAUUAGAUCCAUUAUUAUUGAUUGUUAGAUUAAGUUACCUUAGGGAUAACAGCGUAAUCUCCUUCCAGAGUUCAUAUUUACGAGGGGGCUUGCGACCUCGAUGUUGGAUUAAGAUAAUAAUUAGGUGUAGCCGCUUAAUAUAUAGGUCUGUUCGACCUUUAAACUCUUCA